GUUUCUGCAAUUCCGUAUGACCAUAUUCCGUUUCUUACUUUGUGAUUUUGUAAAUUACUUCAUAAGUUUCGUAGUUGGAGAUUUUGAAAGAAAGUUCUGAUUAACAUGAAGUAUCAAGACAAUUUAGCUAACGUGGAAAUAUUACGUAAAGAAAUCCAAAGGCAAUGGCAAUGCAACUCAGGCUGCAUCCCUUCUUCUCCAAGUAAACCUUGCCUAAUGUCCCCUAAAGCUUACCUGGUUGUAAGAGCAGAGACUACAGAGAUGGAGGACUUAGGGGCUUUAGCCAACAUUUUUGGCAGGAAAAUUCAGGAAAUAGCAUUAAAGAUUUUAAAGAAAAUUAAAGUGGCAUGGGUUCAUGCCUACCAGAUGACCCAACAAGACAAUGUUGCAAUGUCCCAGCAAAAGAGAAAAUUAAAAACAAUAACAGUGAAAUUCUCUGAAACUGAAAUCUACAUGACACAUCUAGCACAAGGGAAUAUUGUAAUGGCCAGGAAGUAGGUUGGGCCUAACUUGUCAUUAAAGUUAAAGCGAUAUCUUGAUGUUGAUUUUUGGAUAAAAAGGUGAUUACUUCUUUAAUUCAAUUGGCAGUUCAACCUUGCUGCACGUUUUU